rnacentral:lncRNA from 1 species
CUAAUCAAUUGAAAGAAGUCAUUGGGGCAACGUGGAGUGCUUACCUCUUUUACUAUUUCUUUGAUUACAAAGAUACAAUUCAUUGAUUAAUGAACAGAAAUAACAAACCAAAGAAAUAGAUAGCUACUCUUUUAGCAGAUUAAUUAAACAGCUUGAGACCCAUUGGGUUAUAUUAUAAAAUUCAUUAGAUCAAACAAACUGUGCAGAGUGCAGGCAUAGACUUCCAUAGACAAAACAGCAGCUAACCAAAACAAGCCACUGGCUGGCGUAAUUAAACAGAGGCUAAGAGGAGCACACAGACUCGACUUCACUCCCGCCACAGCCACAAUUUAAACGACACAUGGUAGAUAGGGCCAGAGUAGGGGCUCUCCACGCUCCACGAGUGUGUAACCGUAUAUUCGCUUUGGGUUUGCCUUCGGCUUUGGCUCUGGCUCUGGCUUUGGCGCUCAGAUGAAGCUCAUCGGGCAAAGUGGCAAGUUAAGUAAACAGUUUCAUUGUGCGAAUUCAAUUAAAAUUUAUUCAAAAUACGUCAAAG